AGCUCUGAAUUUUACACAGAUUGCAAAUCUGAGGAAGCAGGUUAAUCGCCUGCCAGGGCUU
rnacentral:tRNA from 1 species